CAGUCGCCACGGUAAUACGUAGGGUGCAAGCGUUAAUCGGAAUUACUGGGCGUAAAGCGUGCGCAGGCGGUUAUAUAAGUCAGAUGUGAAAUCCCCGGGCUCAACCUGGGAACUGCAUUUGAGACUGUAUAGCUAGAGUACGGUAGAGGGGGAUGGAAUUCCGCGUGUAGCAGUGAAAUGCGUAGAUAUGCGGCGGAACACCGAUGGCGAAGGCAAUCCCCUGGACCUGUACUGACGCUCAUGCACGAAAGCGUGGGGAGCAAACAGGAUUAGAUACCCGCGUAGUCCCUGUCUCUUAUAC
rnacentral:rRNA from 1 species